AACGGAAGUCGAGCGGACGAUGCUGUCGCCAACCCGGUCAGAUCCGGAAGGAAGCAGCCGUAACGAAUUUGCGUCGGGUCGUUUCGGCUUCCACUCUU
rfam:Zymomonas mobilis subsp. pomaceae ATCC 29192, complete genome.